GCUCAUUUCUUUCUUCUUCUCUCUAUACGUUGGUGUUCUAACCAAUAAUCACUGAUGCGAUGUUCUGUCCGAUCGAUUCAGGAACCAACUAACGGAUGCCAAAGUACUAUACUUUGAGAGUUCGUUAAACGGAUGCCAAAGUGCUAUACUUUGUGAUUUCGGCAAACGGAAUCCAAAGUGUUACACUUUGUGAAAAUCGUUAAGGUUCGAAUCUCGUGACUACCGUUAAGGUUUGAUUUGGGUUUUACACAAAUACGUAUUCCAUUCUGUUAAACUAUAUGUUUAACUACCAAAAAUACUCCCAACUACACACUCACAAUCAAACAAACUAUUAAAUCAUCAGAAGAUCCACAAUAAUAAAGUGCAUGCUUAAUUAUCGGAAGAAGUAGAAUCAAGAAGCUUGUUAACUCAAUCUUGCAUGCUUAUAAAGGAUUAAGUCUUUGUAAUCACCAAAUUACAGCCGGUAUGUGGGGUAUUGUGCACAUUACUAUUGUUUUUAUCAGUUUAGGUGGGCGUACCUAAAUCCUGAUACACUUUUAGGUGAACGGACCUAAAAAGUGAUUGACGUCACUUGUGGGUGAACGAACCCAACAGUGAUAUGACCACAGUCACCGAAACGAGUCGAGUGACAAAUAGUGUGGGUAGUUGGUUUGAUAUCAGAAACAUUGUAAUCGCUCUUAAUACUGUAAAUUAUAACAAAUCUGUUUUAUAUAAAACCUGAAUGAACUCACUCAGUAUUUCCCGCUGACAAAACCUUUUUAAAACGCGUUUCAGGUAAUUACAGUAGAUUAGAGUAAGGAUUGGAUCCAGCACUGAAGGACUUCAAGAAGUGGCUUAUUUUAUUAAUUAAAUCAACUUAAGAAAUAUUGUUUUUGGGUUUAUCCCGUAUUAAAAGCUACCUUUGUAAAACAUGGAAUUUAUUCCAUCUAUUUAAAUAAAAUCCGGUGUUUCUAAACUCUGAUAUUUUUCCUAACUCACGGUCCUGAUGAAAUUUCCGCUGCAAUGUUUUUCAAAAUAAUCACCGAUACCACUUGACUGCUCGCGGCUUCUGAUUCCGGCCAGGAUGGGGUCGGGGGUCGUGACAGGAUGGUAAGAUGUAGAGAGUCUUACCUCUACCCCGUAGGAAUAGAGAGGCUGUUUCCAGUGAUACCCCCGGCUCUAUAGUAGUUUUGCAUCAAGCCUUGGACAUAAGGUACGUAACACUCAGCAAUCGGGACAAAGACCGAUUAGUGCGUGUACCCUUUUGUCUUUCAGCUAUCAAUGCCACCACAUGAUGCAGGAUUAACCGUCCUCGGCUUUUAACGUUAUUUUCAUGAAAUUAGUAAAAUAACAUUAGAAUUAGUGCACUUUCACUUUUGCCCCCCGAUAACCCACACAUAUAUACAUUAUAUAUGCUCCUAGGAACAGUAAAACACGAAAAAGCUAAUAAAAACUUCUUGAUUCCUCACUGAUUAUGGUCCAUGACAACAAACAUGUAUUAACGAAUUAUUUUUUCCUGAAGCUACUUGUUAACGGGCUUCAUAAAAAUGUUUUUUCCAUGAAGCUAGCUACAUAGUAAUAUAGUUUAAUUUGAAGGCAAUAACGUUGGUGAUUUUUCUUUUGUUAUAAAUUUCGAUAUUAAAGUAUGUUAAACAAAACAACGUUUAGUAUUGUAUUCAUGAGCAUUAGAGUUAUAUGCAAUAUAAGUAGUUGUAACUGAGAAACACAAGAUUAUAUAUAUAAGUAAGACUAUCCGAAUCAUCGUUAGGGGGUGAAGGGUGUCCGCCUGAGUCUCUGCCUAAGAUGACUGACCAAUAGAUCCAUACCCCCUAUCACUUUUCAUGGCCAAAGUGGCACUACAUCUUUCUCUCACAAAACUCCCAAAGAUUUAUCCUUACGCAAUUAUCAUCUCUUCUCUCUCUCACCUUCCCCUCAAAGGAUCUCUUUGCUCUCUCUACCAAUGAAAAUUGUCUAAAUGUGUGUUUUAGAUUACGUUUUAGAACCAAUUGUCAUAUGAAAGAUUGUUUUUAAAAAGCAUUAUCAAACUAGUUUUUACUUUUU
rnacentral:lncRNA from 1 species